GGGGGUUUAGCUCAGUGGUAGAGUGCUUGCCUAGCAAGCGAAAGGCCCUGGGUUCGGUCCCCAGCUCCG
rnacentral:tRNA from 1 species